CGCCGCGUGCGGGAAGAAGGCCUUCGGGUUGUAAACCGCUUUCAGAAGGAACGAAACUGACGGUACUUUCAGAAGAAGGUGCGGCCAACUACGUGCCAGCAGCCGCGGUGACACGUAGGCACCAAGCGUUGUCCGGAUUUAUUGGGCGUAAAGAGCUCGUAGGCGGUUCAGUAAGUCGGGUGUGAAACCUUUGGGCUUAACCCAAAGCGUGCACUCGAUACUGCUGUGACUGGAGUUCGGUAGGGGAGCGGGGAAUUCCUAGUGUAGCGGUGAAAUGCGCAGAUAUUAGGAGGAACACCGGUGGCGAAGGCGCCGCUCUGGGCCGAUACUGACGCUGAGGAGCGAAAGCGUGGGUAGCAAACAGGAUUAGAUACCCUGGUAGUCCACGCCGUAAACGUUGGGCACUAGGUGUGGGUCUCAACCAACGGGAUCCGCGCCGUCGCUAACGCAUUAAGUCGCCCCGCCUGGGGAGUACGGCCGCAAGGUUAAAACUCAAAGGAAUUGACGG
rnacentral:rRNA from 1 species